GGACUUGCAGCCAACUAUAGGAGUAGUGAGCAGUCGAGUGGUACAUCUCAGUUUCAGGGCCCUACUGUCGAUCCAAAACGACUUGUGGAUGUGGAGUUGCAGUUGCAGGAUGCCUUAGCGGCGAUAGAACGUUAGAAAGAAGAGAUGAGACUGAAAGAUGAGCAGACCGAGGCUCGAUUUGAGGCUCAGCAGCGUAUGUUCGAGCAGAUAUUGGCUAGGCUUCCACCUGGACCGACUCCACCCUCUGAACCAUCAUCUUGACUAUUAUGUUUGUGUUUUUGUAUUUUGAAUACUUGAAUGUUUCUAUUAUGUUUUUGAACAGUUGGAUAUUUUAUGUUAUAUUAUGAAUAUUUGAAUGCUAGUUUAAAUUUUAAUAUUUUACAUAUUUGGUGUUUUGGAGAUUG
rnacentral:lncRNA from 1 species